rnacentral:lncRNA from 1 species
AUGUUCAGUGGACUGUGAAAUUGGGGUCAAAACUCUUAUUUGGCAUAAAAUUAGAACGAUCAUAUCAUAAGGAACCUGUGUACUAAGUUUCAAGUCGAUUGGACUUCAAAUUCAACAAAAUCUACCUUGACCAAAACUUAAACCUGAAGCGGGACGAACGAACAUACAGAUGAAUGAACGGACGUACAGACCAGAAAACAUAAUGCCCAUCUACUAUCGUAGGUGGGGCAUAAAAAAGACCUGAUCCAUCUGUUGAUAGUAGUAAACAUUUCUGAUUAAUGUACUUAUAUAACAGUCUUGACUUGGAUUGAAAUGUAAAGUUUUAAGGACUUUUCACUAUAUAUUCAAAGAAGGUUUCAUG